GCAGUGCGUGGCCGAAUGGCUACGCUGUUCGCUUUGUAAGCGGAUAAUUCUGGGUUCGAUUCCCAUCUGCUGCA
rnacentral:tRNA from 1 species